rnacentral:rRNA from 1 species
GACGAACGCUGGCGGCGUGCCUAACACAUGCAAGUCGGACGGAUCAGGGAUGACAGCUUGCUGGAGUUCCUGGUGAGUGGCGGACGGGUGAGUAACGCGUGAGGACCUACCCUGGAGAGGGGGAUAACGGCUGGAAACGGCUGCUAAUACCCCGUAAGCCGGAAGGUGAAAGGGAGCGAUCUGCUCCAGGGGGGGCGUUGCGUCCUAUCAGCUAGUUGGUGGGGUAACGGCCUACCAAGGCGAAGACGGGUAGCCGGCCUGAGAGGGCGAACGGCCACACUGGAACUGAGACACGGUCCAGACUCCUACGGGAGGCAGCAGUGGGGAAUAUUGGGCAAUGGGGGAAACCCUGACCCAGCGACGCCGCGUGAGGGAUGAAGUUCUUCGGAAUGUAAACCUCUGUUGUGGGGGAAGAAGUAAGUGACGGUACCUCACGAGGAAAGCCCCGGCAAACUACGUGCCAGCAGCCGCGUAAACGUAGCGUG